rnacentral:rRNA from 1 species
AUUGAACGCUGGCGGCAGGCCUAACACAUGCAAGUCGAGCGGAGCGGCGGCCGGGUGAGUAAUGCCUAGGAAUCUGCCUGGUAGUGGGGGAUAACGUCCGGAAACGGGCGCUAAUACCGCAUACUAUCAGAUGAGCCUAGGUCGGAUUAGCUAGUGGUUGGGGUAAAGGCCUACCAAGGCGCCGUUCCGUAACUGGUCGGAGAGGAUGAUCAGUCAAAUUGGAACUGAGACAGGGUCCAGACCCCUAGGGGAGGCAGCAGUGGGGAAUAUUGGACAAGGGGCGAAAGCCUGAUCAAGCCAGGCCGGUGGGUGGAAGAAGUUUUUCGGAUUGUAAAGCACUUUAAGUUGGGAGGCGUUACCAACAGAAUAAGCACCGGCUAAUUUCGUGCCAGCAGCCGCGGUAAUA